rnacentral:rRNA from 1 species
UACAGAGGUCUCAAGCGUUGUUCGGAAUCACUGGGCGUAAAGGGUGCGUAGGUGGCGUGGUAAGUCAGAUGUGAAAGCCCGGGGCUCAACCUCGGAAUUGCAUCCGAUACUACCAUGCUAGAGUACUGAAGAGGUGACUAGAAUUCUCGGUGUAGCAGUGAAAUGCGUAGAUAUCGAGAGGAAUACCAAAGGCGAAGGCAGGUCACUGGGCAGUUGCUGACACUGAGGCACGAAGGCUAGGGGAGCAAACGGG